rnacentral:lncRNA from 1 species
AUUGAAAUCUGGUUGUUGCCUUUCGAAAUAUUAAGCUUUAGUCAAUUAAUCACCCUAAAAGAACAACUACAAUAUUUAAAUGAAUAGGAUGUAACAAGGAGGCCACAAAAUAUAAAUAUCACUAGACUGCCCAUAUCCUAGAACCAAUCAACUUCGUGGAUCUAGUAUUUGGAUAGCGGGUAUAAAUGUGCCUGCAGUGUGUGCAGGCACACUAUAAAACACGUAGAUGCAUACAAUGACGGACCUAAACAGUCUGUGUUUAAGCACCCAUUGUUCUUGAGCCAACCACUAUUCUUUUUUUUUCCUUUCGUGUUGGUGGUGUGCAGACCAACUUGUGCUACCUCCUACCAGCCCAAGUACCAACCGCUACUUUUAUAUAUGAAACUAGUAUUAACAUACAAAUUGAUUGACUAAGCACCCUUCUGUGAUUAGUAGCAACACUAGAUUGAAAGCAGAUGAGCAUCCAUGACUAAAAAUUCCUGGCUCCGUGUAUGUAUACACAUAUAUAAACACACACUAAGUCCGCAUCCAUUGACUCUACACCUACUUAAAAUCCCGGAUCCAUCUCUACCUAUCAAUAAUUAAUUUCCCGCAUAAUUAUAAUUUCUCUCAUUAUAAUUAAAAAAGAAAAAAGAAAAACAUACCUAAAGGGUGUUCAAGUUUGAAAGAACUCUUGGCCAUUGCAAUACUCGAACUCUGAUCUCUUCCUGCAAAUUUCAUACAUCUAAAGAACAUCAGAUAGAAUUCACCUAAAAAAGCCUUUUUUUCACUCACCAAAAAAAUAAACACACAAUAUUUACAAACUUAAUAAACGCAAGUAAAAGCUGUAUUUGCGUGUAGAAAUCACCAAGAAAAAAAAAACAGCAAUUCACGCAAGAGGAUACCUUUCAAAUUUACCCAAAAAAGUAACAAAGCAAAUAAAUUCAAUCAAGAACUGAUGGUUAUGAGAGUAUUCAACAGAGAACAAAAUUAGGGUUUUUUUAUACGAACACGAAACGGAACUACUCAAAGUUGUUUAGAUUCACA